rnacentral:rRNA from 1 species
UACGUAGGGGGCGAGCGUUGUCCGGAAUUAUUGGGCGUAAAGAGCGUGUAGGCGGUUCGGUAAGUCUGCCGUGAAAACCUGGGGCUCAACCCCGGGCGUGCGGUGGAUACUGCCGGGCUAGAGGGUGGUAGAGGCGAGUGGAAUCCCGGUGUAGCGGUGAAAUGCGCAGAUAUCGGGAGGAACACCUAUGGCGAAGGCAGCUCGCUGGGACGUUACUGACGCUGAGACGCGAAAGCGUGGGGAGCAAACAGG